rnacentral:lncRNA from 1 species
UUCGUUCCAAAUUUACACUCUCGGGGCAUAAUAGAACUAUAUAAUUAGGUUUUACUCUUUGUUCGAUAGAAUGAGAAAAAGUACUCGUUUCAAAGUUAUACUGUUAGGGCGCAACAGAGUAGUCUAAUGUUGUUCUGGUUUUCGUUCUUGUGAACGUUGACAUCGAUUCGUUCCAAAUUUACACUCUAGGGGCAUAAUAGAACUAUAUAAUUAGGUUUUACCCUUUGUUCAAUAGAAUGAGAAAAAGUACUCGUUGCAAAGUUAUACUGUUUGGGCGCAACUGAGUAGUCUAAUUUUGUUCCUGUUUUUGUUUUUGUGAACGUUGACAUCGAUUCGUUCCAAAUUUACACUCUCGGGGCAUAAUAGAACAAUAUAAUUAGGUUUUACUCUUUGUUCGAUAGAAUGAGAAAAAGUACUUGUUGCAAAGUUAUACUGUUAAGGCGCAACUGAGUAGUCUAAUGUUGUUCCGAUUUUGGUUCUUGUGAAUGUUGACAUUGAUUCGUUCAAAAUUUACACUCUCGAGGUAUAAUAAAAUAAUAUAAUUAGGUUUUACUCUUUAUUCGAUAGAAUGAGAAAAAGUACUCGUCGCAAAGUUAUACUGUUAGGGGGCAACUGAGUAGUCUACUGUUGUUCCGAUUUUGGUUCUUGUGAACGUUGACAUCGAUUCGUUCCAAAUUUACACUCUCGAGGUAUAAUAGACCAAUAUAAUUAGGUUUUCUCUUUGUUCGAUAGAAUGAGAAAAAGUACUCGUUGCAAAGUUAUAUUGUUAGGGCGCAACUGAGUAGUCUAAUAUUGUUCCGAUUUUGGGGACCGUCCUCUGGCAAGGACCGGUUCCGAACGUUGAAUAUCCCCUUUGCCAGUUUGUGCAGCUUUACGUGGACGGCUCAAAGGGGUCGCUCGCCCGACAAAGGUGACCACCGGUUGGUCCCUCACUGCGAAAAAUACCCAGGGAGGCUGUUUCAAGAAGUGAAAAGUGAGGGUUUUAUGUUGCAUCAAGUGGGUUAUGAGAAGAGGCUAGGCUUGUCCGCCUCUCAUCGCAUCACUUACACUUCAGUGGAUGCCCUUCUUCACGUCGUGAUGUCGUAGUCCUCCAUACUCACGACCUCUGAUGUCUACUCAUCUUCUGGCUCUCUGAAAGGUUAUAACAAAAAAGCAUCAUAUCGGAGGAAAAGAGGAGAAGUAGCAGAAGGCUAGUAGAAUGAUAGAAGGAGACGAGAUAGAGACUGAAAAAGAGCGAGAAAGAGAGGUAUUGACAACUAAGACAGGAAUGAGAAGCAUAUCACGCGAGUUACACUAUUCAUCAUCUCCUCUUGCCCAAAGCUUGGAGCUUGGUAAUGAUGUAAACCUCAACCUUUGAUGUGGUUUCAAUAGGCAGAGGUAGAAGUUUUAUAAUACGAAUAAGCGCGGUUCAAGACUGAACCUUAUUGAGCUGCAUAACUGCCAGGUCGAGAUAUGUUUCGACUCGAAAUCGAAGCUCGCAGCCGGCAGAGUAGUCGUAUCUCAUCAAUGGCCGCAUGAUGCGUGCAUUGUGCUUUUCGAUAGUCUUUCGAGAAUAGGUUGGCCAGAGCAUACUUGAACUGGGCUAUUUAAUUCAAAUUAAUUUCGGCACACCUAAAUUCUAAGGUCCCGAAGUCGUAGGCACAGACGGUGUGUCGCAUUACCGUCGAGUAGCAGUCGAAGUUAUCGCCAAGAGAGACCUUCGGAGCUUCGUGUCCAUGCCUAGAAGGCUAACGGCGUCGAGACGGUUCUAAGGCACGACACAUCGCAAUCGAAGAGCUUCCACAGAAGUCCACCCACCGAGGGGUGGAGCAUCACAGUAAAACCCACCAAAAGUCCUCACCAGGGCGAGAGUGGCGCUACACGAGCUAACCAGAAGGGUGCGGGCGAUCAACAUGGUCGGACUUCACUUUCAUGCUUUAGAUGUCUGAUGUCAUCAUCGAAAGACUUAACUAGUACGAGUUUAUUACAUAUUGUGAUAUAGUCAAUUACUUGACGGAAUUGUCUUAACCAUGGAUUAUCGCUGCAUAUCCUUGCAUGCUAAGGAUGGUAUAGCUCUGCGUUUGUUCAUCAUCGUCAAGACUGAUUUAGUAAAACAUGCAGAGGUGAGCGAUCGUUUGAGAACAGACACCCAAUGAAAAGUCGCCCUAGUCAACUAACGAUAAGAAUUAUUGUUUCAGUAGAUGAUAUAUGAACCUAGUGAUACCUUGGAACACAGUUGUAUUCAAGAACUCUGUCAAGAGAACGAGUGGCCAUCUAGUUAACCUAAACAUGAACGAGUGCAUUAAGUAGCCGGUAGGCAGCGCAAAACCUAAGAAAACUGCCUGCAGCUUGUCGAGAGACUACAUCAGUAUCAGAUAGUGAUGGAUCAGCGCCACCAAUCAAGUUGCUACUACACCGAGGCUAACCUCUCGGUGCCACGAAAUUCCGCCGAGUAUAGAUAUGCCCCCUGUUGAUCAGGGCGAUAUUACGAGAUUAUCAUGACAGAGAUUGAAUCGAGCUCACUUAGCUGCUGUCUUACACCUGUAGGACAGUAAGAAUCCUCGCACCUUCCUUACGAUGCUUUAAGUCGUUACACAACUCCCGGAGUGCUUCUUCGGCGAAGAUAUCUCGCAAGAUACUGGCGGGCCAGUGUAUGCCCUGGAGCCAGUGUAGUGUCCGCUCUCGGAAGAUAGGAUCCGGUCUCCGGGUAAGUGAUAUAGCUAGCCCACUCAUCCCCUAUGCAAGCAUCUUAGACGACGUAGAGGUACACGUAUCAGAUGUCACAAUGAAAACCCGACGGCGAGCGAAACUUGCGUUCGCCGAGAGAUACGAAACUAGAUAUUCCACAGAAUAUAGCCCGAAGAUCCUGUUCAAUCAUGUCCAUGAUGCUGACUCACACUUAGCAUUGUGUUUGAUGGAAGCAUGUAGUCCCGAAAGGCAUCACCGAGACAGCCUAGCAUUCUUACUAUGAGUUGUGCGAAGACAUUCGUAGUGGCAUCCUGAAUUAUGAGGCAUUGUAGUACCUGUGGCGAAUCUAGUUUCUAUGGACCAUCAAUUCACUCUCAGCCCGGAUCUUAAGCUGAAUGGUACCGCUUUCAGUUAAUAUAAUCUAUCUAUCUGCAUAUCUAUCUGUAGCGCGGGGCUAAGACGCUAGUGGGAGGAUCCGAUGCAAUGAGAUCUUCGGAGCAGAUACACGCCAGAACCCACUGGGAAACUAUUCGUAGUUCUCACUCGCACAGAGUACUAUCGCUGCACUGAGGCUGGCUUCCAAAGAAAGGAGACCGUGUUCAAUCUGGGCAGGGGAUACCCCUGUUUCUUACACUGUGACUUUGUUGAGGCGGCUCGAAUCGCCGGAAGGCGUAAGCGCCCUACGGGUUGACAGUGGUAAUCCAGACGAAGAGGGUUUUUCACUUAUUUAAAUAUCAAAUUUUUUCUUGACUUAGCGCCUUAUUUAGAAGACAGGGCAGCACCUCUAGUCGUCUAGGGAGAUCACACCUGGCUCUAUGACCUCCUUUAUCACCCUACCUCAGCUGGCGCCUUCCCUUUACUUCAGCUCCCAGGCAAAGCAAUAUAAGAUUAGUCAUAGCCAUCGAGGAUCGAUGGUGGUUGCCAGACACAGUGAUCUCAUACUGCGGUCAGCACGAGGUCAUCCUGUUAUCUGGUAGUCUAGAGAGUUGUAGGUACGAAUUCACAGACUACAUGGUCAUAUCCAAUGAGUGGUCGCAUUCUUAAUCUUAUGUCUAAUAUACACGGCCGGGCAUUCAACAUUAUUGCCCUAGUAAAGAGAUAUCGCAGCGAAAUAGAGGCUCUAACAUGCUCGGUUAAUAAAUAUAUUAUAAGAAGUUAGCUCGGCAAAAUAGGAUCACCCAUCCUCCGCUCGCAUCGAUAGUAAUGUUGCCUAGUGAAAAACAGUCCAUUAGGUUCGAAUUUUAUUACUACUCAGAUCAGGCUAGAAAAACCCGAUCAUCGUUGUACCAAGAAGUAAAGCGGCGGUGAGUACCAUACGAGCAUAAGUGUAUGCUCAGCUGACAGGCGAGUAAGCAUCAUCCUGCUAGAGGUCGUCUCGAUCUCGAAGUGUACACAUCGAGUGUUUUGCGAGGAAAGACCAAGCUCACAUGCAAAUGAAUGCGAAAUAAAGAGUGGCGAUGCUCUUCACGUACUCGAAAAUGAGCAAUUCUAGCAUCAGAUGAAAUGUUGAAGGUAUGGACAAUACCUCGCAAGACAGUCGCCCACACCAGUGCCCUGCGUGCUGAGUCAGGGCGAAGACCUCUCUGCGCAUCUCCAGAUGCGCUGCCGUGCCCCUCAGUUUGCGCCUCCGUCCCGCGUAAUUGUGGUUGUUAAUUGUUAUGUACCCAGUUCAACGUUGUUCCUUGGAACCUUGUUGCUCACUAAUCUAUGGUUGAGCCUUGGCGACAGAGGAGGCUGUCCGUUCGGCGUCGGUCCGCCCUUCGAGUAGGGGGACCCCGGAGCCACGAAGCAGCUGCAGCUGGGGCUCCGCGGCUUCUGCGGGCGUGCAGGCAUGGGAGGAGACAGGGACUCCCCCUGAGACAUCCGCCACCUCCUAGGACACUGGCUUGCAGGGGAGCCACCUCGCACUGGCCACGAACGGAAACAGUGUCCUCCUCUGCGACCAUUCGCCAUCAACCGCUGAGCUUUGCCGGCAGAUGCACACAACGGUGGAUCGCCCCUCUGCUGAUUGCUCGAGGGCGCACUCUUUGCUCCCUGCUAGAGUGCGCGGAUGCUUUGGCGACCGGUUACUAUUGGAAAGGAGCCGCCGCACGUCUUAGAAUGGGAACGCUUUCUGUUCCCCAUCGCCUCCGAGGCCCUUUGCAGCUCGGACUCUCGUAGACUCGCUCUGGAUGACGAGGCUAUCGUCGCAAGCACUCCGUCAAAACACGUCAUCGUGCCAUGAGAAGCCCAGCAGCAUCCUGAUGUGGGUCUCGAAGCCCUCGCGAAGACUCUCGCCUUGUGCGCUCGUCAAAGUAGGCUCGAAUAGAGAGCAAGGGAUCAGCCUCCACCAUGGCGGAAGACGAAGUCCUGCUCGUAGCUUCAGCUACGGUACGUUCCCACUGCUGAAGAUGUUCUAAAGCUCCGCGCUCCGGCCCAGCCUCCAAAUUUUUGAGUUGUCCCGAAAGAAUUGCUUGGAUUGGAGAUCUCCGGAACUCCCCCCAGGGUUGGGAAAGGACGGCCCAGCUGUGAGCGAGGUAGAUGUCGGCAGCCACCAAAUAGAGCUGCGUCCGCCGGUCCGAGAAAGUGUGCGGCCAAGGACGCGGUACCUGGCUCAUCCGAUGAGUAUAAGUCGCUCUAAAGCUAGGUACUCUCACAAUGUCGGUCAGGUUCGAUGAGCAGGUCGCGUCGAUAGAAACUCCUAGUUCUCUUCCUUCUUACGCUCCACGCGUAUUCUUGCGGGUCGAAUUCCCAUGAACUCAUCCAGCUUCGCACAUGCAUAGCGGGCGCCUCUGCUGCGGGGUAAUUUGCAUCCUCAGCUGGAACCUCUGGUGGUCGUCCGUCGUCGUCGAGCUCAGCAAGCAGAUAAAGAUGGAACGGAGCCGAGGGCCGAGCUACCUAGUGCAGGCGCACCUGAGGAGGUGGUGGACUUCCUACGGAGACUCUAAGAGCAGGCAUGACCCAUUCCAGAACCGGCGGCGUCGGGGAAGGUAGUCGCUUAUAUGGGAACACAGCUCUAGGCGGUGUGCGGCUCGUAAGGACUAGCUGGCAUGAGUGCUGCGUCGGAAACCGCCGCCAUGUGGAAAGGAGUCGUCAUCCUGAAUCCCGUCCCGUCAUCACUGGAGGCUUUAGACCUCGAGUGGUGAGGCUCGAGCUGCUUCGAUAGCAGUGAGUAUCCGCCCUGCUGGAUGUGGAAUGUUUUUUUUUACUUUUCUGGUCGAUCUGCUCACCCUACUCCUGCCCUGCCCCACCUGCCUCUGCCGUUGCUCGGAGGCCUGCUCUUUUCCUAGGAGGCUAAUUGACUAAGAGCCCUCAUGGGCGACGGCGUCCAGAAAGUUUGAUGGAACUAGCUCCCACGAACUCACGGAAGAAGGUGGGUCCGCUACUCCACGAGCCAAUCUGUAACACAAAGCACGCGUCAGCACGAAUAAUCGAGACUCGACCAACUCCGCCUACGGACUUGAGGCCCACAGAAACUUGCACUCACGUGCGCUAUGAGUAUUUCGCCCGUAGUCCUGCCUAUGGGUCAACCUAACCAAUGGUUCAUUUCAUUGAUUUUUCGAAAACCAACCUGUGAAUGGUAGUCUCCCCCUGUAUUUUGAGCACGGUCGUCGUAGCACAAGUACAGAGGAGAUCUGUCCCGUCGUGAAGUGGAUUCCCUGUAAUUGUGCGAUCUGACAUACUCUGGGGUCAGGUAUUUGAGAAAAACAAAAACAAAUUAUUAGUCAUUUCGCGUCAUUUCCAAACGCGCAACAAGGACCUCAGGGGUGACAGAUUAAAGUGGUAUCAGAGCCGGUUCAUCAGCUGGACAUGUGUGGCGAGUCUCGCUAUGAGCCACGGGUCGGAUGACGGGCUAACGAGCGACGUCUUACAUCGCGCUGGUGAUCUUGGGCUGUGUGUGUUGUGGACUCGACAGACGUCAGGACUGCAGCUUAAACGGGGAGUCCUGGUGACACCGCCAUAUCAACAUCGAUGAAAUGGAAGGUGUUGUUUAUUCAGGAGUUGAUAAGCACGACUUAGACACUAGCUAAAUAAUAACUGGCUUAGAGCAUUUGGGGUCUGUGUUGGUAUCAUGGGCCAACGAGUUACUCUUAAUUAAGCUUAGUGAAGCUUGGGCCUGGUCGUUACAUUGGUAAUCAGUCAAGUCGAAUUCUUUCAGCUCAUCGAAGCUACUGCUAGACACCGUCGAUUUGUUCAUGAAGUUAUUGUCGUUUCGAACUGCGAAUGAUGACCUGUCGUUCGGAUUCAGUAAUACCGAUUUUGCUGGGAGUCCACCGGGUUAUACCCAAAGCUCUCCGAGCUUUGCCUCAAUGUAAAGCUUGUGAAGCGGUGUGCGAUUUUGGAGAAGGCUGCAACGAAUCGCAAGAUAAUACCUGCACUGCGCCAAACCCUAGAAAAACUCCGGACUUGGUCACCGAAAGUUUUGGUUCAAGACCAGCUACACCACGCGAGGCUAUCUUCUUCGGGUCCGACCGAAUCCACGCCGGAGUAGAAUAUGCCGUCUCUCAAGAAUGACCACGUAGCGACGUCACGGAGCAGAAAUCCACUUCUUGAGCUUAGCGUUACAACUGUGCCGCCGCUGAAGUAUCUGGCAAUUAGCUCUGUCGCGAGAUGAUCCUCAGGUGCUCCCUACAAUACUCCGCGAGUAGAUCAGGAGUCAUCAUGAAACCGACGACAGACACUGAUCCAGAUAAGCUCGGAAGCCCUGUCAUUCAUGUCGCAUAGAAGGCUGCGCGGAGGAUUGGUGAGCCCGAAAGGCACACCGUGAACUCGUAGUGGCCGUAACGAGUCCGGAAAGGCGGUCUUUCGGCACAUCCUCAGCCCGGAUCUUUAAGCUGAUGUAGCCUCCCGACCGCAAGAUCAUCCUUGGAGUUAGCACCGACGAUCCUUUGACAAGGCUGGUCAUGGUACGAAGCCUGAACUUUCCAGUACGCGCUUUCUCAUCUUUAGAGUGACGGUCAGGUCCAGAGCGACGUGCAUCCAGACUUCUUGUACGACAUGCUCUGGCGCAGAUCGCGUCUGGAUUACGGUGGAUCGGAUGGUCUCGGUAUUACCGUUGGUGGAGUUUCGCGACUAUAAUAAACAGCUUUCAGGGUCGACAUCGGGAUGGCACCAUACCGAGGCGUCUGUUAUGGGCGUUCGAUGUCGUUCUCAGCUAUCUGCUUGGCACGCAUGUCGAAGACCGCCGGUUAGUUAGGACUACUAGAUUUAGUAGGAGACGCCACAUGAGGCAAGAUCCGCAUUGGGCGAGAGAGCGGCUUCAGACCUGCAACAGAUAGAAUCCAAGGGGCGACUAGCGCGGCCCAGGCGGAGGCCGGAACCUAGAGUUUCAGUCGUGAGUCAUGUGCUGCUCAAGUGUCGCCUUCCAGGAUCAAUACGGUUUGUUUGCGGAACAAGCUUAUCGCGCUGGUUUCGGUGGGACCCGUUCUGAGAUCCUACGAGCUGCGUUGGUCCGGUGGGCUUACCAGAUUGCUCUCAUACCGCAGUCUCGCCCGAGUGCAGCAACGUUUUUUCACGUGUCCCAUGCUUCGGAUACCACAUCCCGAUCCGUCCCCACAUCAUUCAGUCGACACGCAUUCAGCUAUGCGGGAGGAUCUCGAGCUAUGCAGUGAGGCUCCCGUUGCACGAUCCUGGUCACGUGAGGUGAACGCAGUUGCCGGAAUAGGAGCAUAUCCGUAUUCAAGGUCCAGUGGAGGAGAAGCGCGACGAGAGGGCUGCGCCUGAGGCUACUGGGAGCUUGAAUGCGUCAUGGCGGUCGAUCAUUAUCCACAGUUAUUUUGCGAGGGACGUCCUUGUNNNNNNNNNNNNNNNNNNNNNNNNNACUAAUUAUAUAGUUCUAUUAUGCCGCCGGCGCAAUUGUUAUAUAUUUGGAACGAUCUUAAAUUUACAAGAACCAAAUCGGAACAACAAUUAGACUACUAAGUUGCGCACCUAACAUAUUAACUUUUGCAACGAGCACUUAUUUCUCAUUCUACAAACAAAGAGUAAAACCAUUAUAUUGCUUAUUAUGCCUCGAGACAGUGUAAAUUUGGAACGAAUCAGAAACUUGUCAACGUUCACAAGACAACAAACAUGGACGAAAAUUAGCACUACUCAGUUUGCGCGCAACAGUAUAACUUUUGAACGAGUAUUUUUCUUCAUUGAUCAAUAGAACAAAGAGUUAAAACCUAAGUAUAUUAUUUUUUAUACCUCCAUUCGUGCUAAAUCGUAGAACGAGGUCAAUGUCAACGUUCACAAGACCAAAAUCGGAACACAUAGACUACUCAGUUGGCACCAACAGAUAUGAACUUAUGCACACGAAUACUUUUUUCUAAUUCUAUCAACAAAGAAGUAAACCCCAUAUUAUAUUGUAUCUUAUGCCCCAGAGUGUAAAUUUGGAACGUAACCAGAUGGCAAGGUUCACGUAAGAACAAAAAACAGGAACAAAAUUAGAUACUAGUUGCGGCCAAAAAGUCUAACUUUGCAACGAGUAUUUUUUCUCAUUUCUAUUAUCAGAAAGAGGUAAAACCUAAUUAUAUAGUUCUAAUUUGCCUGGAGUGUAAACUUGGAACGAAUCAGAUUCGUCAACGUGAUUAAGAAGAAAAACCAGAAAACACAUUACACUACUCUGGUUUGCAGCACUAACAGUAUAACUGCGACGUAGUACUUUUGUCUCUUUCUAUCGAACAAAAAGUGAAACCUAAUUAUCAUUCUAUUAUGCCCGGGCGAGUGUAAAUUGUGGAAGAUCUUCAACGUUCACAAAAGAACCAAAUCGGAACAACAUGAGCACUACUCAUUGCGACCUAACGUUAUAACUUUGCAACGAGUACUUUUCUGAUUUCUAUCAACAAAGAGAUAAAACCUUUAAUUAUAUCGAUAUCUAUAGUCUCGAGAGUGUAAAUUGGACGAUAUCAGAGUCAAGUUCAGAAAGAAUCAAAGAUUCGGCGAAGAACAUUAGAUACUCAGUUUUGGCCCUAACAGUUAUACUUAAUGCAACGAUCUUUUUCUACGUUCUAUCAAACAAAGAGUAAAAUACUAAUUAUAUUAUUUAUUAUACGCUCGAGAGUGUGAAUUUGGACGAAGGUCAUAUCAACGUUCACAAGAACCAGCCGGGAGACCGGUCCUUGUCCGAGAGACCGGUUCCCGAGAGCAAUACUUUCGGGACUUAGCCAAAUUUCGGCUUCUCUCGCUGGGCCAACGUUCGGGAACCGGUCCCUGCCUGCUAGGGACAGGUCUCAUCAGAGACCCCCGCAGCCCAGCCUGAUGGGACCGGUCCCUCCCUGCCAGGGACCGGUCCCCGAGAGCAUUUCUUCUCCAGUGCAGCUUUUGCACGGGUGCUCUCGCGGACACCUCCUCAAUGCACCUUAUGCAUUGUGAUCACCUUCGGACUUUCCGAAGCUUGCACGCACGACAACCAGUCGAUCUUUGACGAAGUCUAAUCCUCGAGUUUCGAGAAUUCACUUCCCUUACACUCUCCCCACUUAAAAGAGUUUCGUCCUCGAAACGAACUCAACAAUAUUAAAUUCAUCCAGAAUACUCAUACCUCGGUGGCUCACUCAAACAAGUGAGGAUGAUUCGCUCUCAUCUCCUCCUCGAGCUCCCAGGUGGCUUCGCGGUCAGCAUGAUUGCUCCACUCUCAGGGCAUAAUAGAAUAAUAUAAUUAGGUUUUACUCUUUGUUCGAUAGAAUGAGAAAAAGUACUCGUUGCAAAGUUAUACUGUUUGGGCGCAACAGAGUAGUCUAUUGUUGUUCCGGUUUUCGUUAUUGUGAACGUCGACAUCGAUUCGUUCCAAAUUUACACUCUCGGAGUAUAAUAGAACUAUAUAAUUUGGUUUUACUCUUUAUUCAAUAGAAUGAGAAAAAGUACUCGUUGCAAAGUUAUACUGUUUGGGCGCAACUCAGUGGUCUAAUUUUGUUCCGGUUUUUGUUCUUGUGAACGUUGACAUCGAUUCGUUCCAAAUUUAUACUCUCGGGGCAUAAUAGCACAAUAUAAUUAGGUUUUACUCUUUGUUCGAUAGAAUGAGAAAAAGUACUCGUUGCAAAGUUAUACUGUUAGGGUGCUACUGAAUAGUUGAAUGUUGUUCCAAUUUUGAUUCAUGUGAACGUUGACAUCGAUUCGUUCCAAAUUUACACUCUCGGGGCAUAAUAAAAUAAUAUAAUUAGGGUUUACUCUUUGCCCGAUAGAAUGAGAAAAAGUACUCGUUGCAAAGUUAUACUGUUAGUGUGCAACUGAGUAGUCUAAUAUUGUUCCGGUUUUUGUUCUUCAGAUCGUUGACAACGAUUCGUUCCAAAUUUACACUCUCAGGGCAUAAUAGAACAAUAUAAUUAGGUUUUACUCUUUGUUCGAUAGAAUGAGAAAAAGUACUCGUUGCAAAGUUAAACUGUUUUGGGCGCAACUGAGUAGUCUAAUUGUUCCGUUUUUGUUCUUGUGAACUUGACAUCGAUUCGUUCCAAAUUUACACUCUCGGGGCAUAAUAGAGAAUAUAAUUAUGUUUUACUCUUUGUUCGAUAGAAAUGAGAAAAAGUACUCGUUGCAAGUUAUACUGUUAGGCGCAACCUGAGUUGUCUAAUGUUGUUCCGGUUCUUGGUUCUUGUGAUACGUUGAAAUCGAUUCGUCAAAUUUAUUACACUCUUCGGGGGGCAUAAUAGAAGCUAUAUAAAUUAUGGUUUUAAGCUCUUAAUUCGAUUUUUAGAAAAGAGAAAAAAGUACUACGUUGCAAAGUUAUAGCCUGUUAGCACGCCAACAGAGUAGUCUUAAUUUGUUCCGGUUCACAAAGAACGAAAACCGGAAACGAACAUUAGACUAUCGGUUUUCGUUCUGUGAACGUUGACAUCGAUCGUUCCAAAAUUUACACGCCUUUGGGGCCAUUAAAUAGAACAUGAUAAUAUGUUUUAUCCUUUGUUUCGAUGCGUAGAAUGAGAAAACGUACUCUGUUUCACAAAGUUAUAGCUGUUUGGGGCCGCCCCCCCAACUGAGUAGUACUAAUUUUGGUUACCCGGAUUUUGUUCUUAUAGUGAACUGUUGACAUAACGAUUCGUUUCCGUCCUUAUAACUAUUGAAUUUAAGAGGAUUUAGACUCCCUUUUCGCUCAUGAGGGACCAANNNNNNNNNNNNNNNNNNNNNNNNNNNNNNNNNNNNNNNNNNNNNNNNNNNNNNNNNNNNNNNNNNNNNNNNNNNNNNNNNNNNNNNNNNNNNNNNNNNNNNNNNNNNNNNNNNNNNNNNNNNNNNNNNNNNNNNNNNNNNNNNNNNNNNNNNNNNNNNNNNNNNNNNNNNNNNNNNNNNNNNNNNNNNNNNNNNNNNNNNNNNNNNNNNNNNNNNNNNNNNNNNNNNNNNNNNNNNNNNNNNNNNNNNNNNNNNNNNNNNNNNNNNNNNNNNNNNNNNNNNNAAAUUUACACUCUCGGGGCAUAAUAAAAUAAUAUAAUUAGGUUUUACUCUUUGUUCGGUAGAAUGAGAAAACGUACUCGUUGCAAAGUUAUACUGUUAGGGCGCAACUGAUUAGUCUAAUGUUGUUCCGUUUUUCGUUCUUAUGAACGUUGACAUCGAUUCGUUCCAAAUUUACACACUCGGGGCAUAAUAGAGCAAUAUAAUUAGGUUUUACUCUUCGUUCGAUAGAUUCAGAAAAAGUACUCGUUGCAAAGUUAUACUGUUAGGGCGCAACUGAGUAGUCUAAUGUUGUUCCGGUUUUUGUUCUUCUGAACGUUGACAUCGAUUUGUUCCAAAUUUACACUCUCGAGGCAUAAUAGAACAAUAUAAUUAGGUUUUACUCUUUGUUCGAUAGAAUAAGAAAAAGUACUCGUUGCAACCUUAUACUGUUUGGGCGCAACUGAGUAGUCUAAUUGUCACGCCCCGCGACCAACCGCCGAUUUGGACCGGGUCGCGGCGCCGCCGACAGACCGCCGAACGGACCGGGAAUUCCCCUGUAUGCGGACAGGGUCUCCCCAGUACGUCCAAGGCGUCGCAAUCCAAACAAUCAACGAAUAUUCCAACAAGA